rnacentral:rRNA from 1 species
UACGUAGGGGGCAAGCGUUGUCCGGAGUUACUGGGCGUAAAGCGCGUGUAGGUGGUGGGACAAGUCUGCUGUGAAAGCGCCUGGCUUAACCGGGCGAGGUCGGCGGAAACUGUCCGACUAGAGGACGGUAGAGGGGGGUGGAAUUCCCGGUAGUAGUGGUGAAAUGCGUAGAGAUCGGGAGGAACACCUGUGGCGAAGGCGGCCCCCUGGGCCGGCCCUGACACUGAGACGCGAAGGCGUGGGGAGCGAACGGG